CUCUGCUCGUAUUAUUUUAAUUGCGUAUUAAGUUGUAUUCGAAUUUCAGAUUCUUUUUAUCCGCAGACGCUGUGAAAAUUACGACGAUCCUUCCGUACGUAAUUCUUCGCUCCGCUAUUUAAUCGUUGGAAACGGGAGUAGCCGUUCGACUACAUACGGAUUGAAAAGGAGUCGGCGACGUGGUUCUCGCAAGUCGAGGCAGGCGGGCGCGAUAAAAAUUUCAACGUACGUCGUCCCUCGUUGGAGAGGCUCGUCUUCGCCGCUUUCACCGGUGAAACAAAAAUUACAGGCCGUUUGUUGCCGGCUGUUAAAUAAAUAAUACGCAACUCGUUAGGUUCCCAUACGGAAGGUGGCCUCGUGUGGACAAUCGAUGCCAUUUCGACGCGUUUUCGUCAUGGGGGACACGCAACAACCCUUAUCAAUUACGUCCCUUUGGCGAAUGAGCGGGGCAGGCGGAAAGGGAAUACGUUUGUUCGUUCGAAGAGAUUCGAGAUAUUUAUCCGUCGCUUCGACGGAACACGAUUGAGCAAGUUUAUCGAUGUUGCUGGAUCGAUGGUAAGUUGGAUGGAAGGUUCAUCCUUUUCUUCGUGUGAUUUAACGCAGUUCGAGUUACGUCAAGCUAGAAAAGUAUCGAGAUUCAUCUUUCUUGCCGGAUUAUUUAUUUAUUCGUCUAUUUUAUAAACGAAUUUUAUUAUUCCCAACAUUCGUACGUUCGCAAGUUUGUACAUUCGGCGUGCAAUAAAAAGCUCUUCUCACUUUGAUAUUAUUUUUCAGCAUCGAUUAUAAUCUUCACGGGAUUAAACGAGAUGCUGGAGUUUUAGUUACAGGAAAAUCUGGAUUAACAAGAUUCCGAGGUAGUUUGAAUAUUACUCGUUUCCCACGAGGAAUGAAUGGUAAUUUUGAGUUUGAUUUACCACGGAAUCCUGUGGAGCUAUUCAGUCCCAGCAGACAGUUUAUUUUGCGAUUUGUGUUCCCUUCGAAUUUCAAACGAUAAUCCCUUAAUCGUUCAAAAAUCUUGUCUUUCUUAAUUUGGUAAAAUUUUGUUCAAUUUAUUAUAUUUAUAACUUUUAUUUAUUGUUUAAAUUACAAAAAGAUCUCGAAUUUCAAAAAAUUGGAUAUAAAUCGUCCGGGAGUAAAUUACUCUUUAAUCGAUUGUCAACCGUAUGAAAUUCGAUUAUCUGGUAUUUACCUGCGACUUUUUUUUUGUUUGUUUAAAUCGCGAAAGAAAAUUUAUAGAUUUAAUUAUAGUAUCGAUUCUCGAUUACCGCUUUCAUUCUUGAUUUAAACAAAAAAAAGAAAACUAUAUGAAAAAGACUGGAAAAACUAAUUUUCAGAAAUGAAUUAAAGUUGAAGAAAGGCGAGAGAAAAUGACAAAUUUUGCUCGAAACUUUCAAACUUCUCGCUCGAACUGGAGACACGAAAUGGAAGAUCACGACAAGAUGUUUCGUCGGGUAAUUUCGCGAUAACAACACGGUUUUCUCGGCAUAAGAUGGAGAAAUAAGACGAGGCGGAGGCCCGUGUCACACGCGGCCAGUAACACGUUUUCGAUAGCUUAUGCGACGAGUUUUCGCGAAACCUCAUUUGAAAGUUUGAUUAAAAUUUCUUCCGUGACGGUCAUAUAUAAUAGAUAAACUUUUUCAACUGGAUCCGAGUUUUAUGCACGGCGGGAUCGCUACGAUUUUAUACAGCGUAAAAGCUGAUUUAUACUCAAUGCAUAAAUCUAUUCCGACGAUGGUCAAUUUGAACCGACUCCUGUUCACUCGAUCUCAAGAAAUUAUUAUUAUAAUUAUUCAUCGACGAUCGAGUUAUCCUCUCUGUUGCAACAUUAAGGAAAAUAACAGUUUUCAAAACAGGAUUGCUUCCUUUCCUCGUUUAUAUUUCAAUUUGUUUUGACAAUAAAAAAUAUUUAAAAUCGUUUAAAGGGAAGGUUUUUCUCGAUUAAAAUCUUGGAGAUCAAAUUUUCAAAUUUAGCCUCGAGAACACUUUGAUAACUUUCCUAUUGAAAGGAAAAUCAAUAGAAUACUCCAAAAAUCGAAAUAUUUAUUUCGCAAGUUCUACGAUUAUUCAAAAAUUAAAUCACACUUUCGCUUCCUUCACCCCCAACUAUAAAUGCACGAUUUUAAUCUGCAAGAUGACUUCUCAACACCUUCUUUCAAUUGCAUCUCGCACAAUCGUCACUAAUCAACUUGAAACGCACCAUCGAAAUCGCGGUUCUCAACACCUUUCAUCGACCACGGGAGAAAAUAUCAAAAAUCCUUGCCACAACAGGCGUCAUCUCCUCGCAUCUCCGCACGAACACGCGUACUCGUAUCCACCGUAAGUUCACCUGUAAUCCCGCAGGACAAGGGGUUGCGCCGUGUCGUUGACGGGUUAAUUAAUUUCGAACGAGAAUCGUGGCCCCGUGUUCGUAACCCAGAUACGCCCCGAACGGAGGAGGGACGAAGAGGAAAAAGAAAUUGAAGGGGGAGGGAGAGAGAAAGAAAGGUGGAGGGAAGAAAAAUAGAGGAGGAGGAGAGGAAGGAAGGAAACGAGGGAAAUUGAAGCGAUUACGGAGGAAGUGGAGCGCGGUGGAACGCGUUGCGAAUCCGGAAACAGAUGCCUCUCGAUUUAACAGGCUCUCGCCGUACUAUAACUCGGACUCCGCUACAACCGAAAUCUGACAUGGCCACGUGUUCGGAUGCUACGCGUUAGUUCUGACGGCUUAAUUAAGCCUGGAGCCGAGAGGGUUAGAGUGUUCCUCGGAUAUUCAACGGCUCCCGCUGUUGCUGCUGCUACCCUCCCCUCUCACGUCGCCACCCUCCCCCGGCAAGCGUCAUAGGGACGCGGAGGAGGCGACCGGUCGACUCCAAAUAUUUAUAGAGUCUGUCGGUGCGAGUGGAUUUAUGGACGCGCGUUCUGGACCGUUGUAAAUGAAAAAAGGAAAGGAGGGAGAGAGGAAGGGGGGAGCGGAAGAGCUGGUGGAAAGGUGGAAGAAGGUGAAGGUCUGUAAGAUAAGAUUCGCAUUGUCUUCGCCAACUUUGGGAAAGUUAUUUCGUAUUGAGGAGACGUUUUGUUUGGAAAUUUAUAUUAACAGAUGUAUAUAUAUUUAUUUUGUGUACGGAUCAUUGGAAUGCGUGGUACGAUGAAACAAAUCCUCGAAAGUCAGUUUAUGAGAAUGUUCACGGUCGAUUGAAUCUUUGAGACGAGGAAGACACGGGCUCGUAAUGACGUUACCUUCAAAAUCUCGUUCCUUUAGAGAGUUACAAAUGGUCACAAGAUGUUCACGGUUCUGAAACAAACAGCGUACGAUCCUCGUAGGAGGUGGAUGAUAAAAUGCAUAAGAUAUUCGCGCGCCUUUGAAUCAGUGGAUUCUUAAAAAAAAAAAGGAAAAAAAUCAACGAGAUUAUUUUUUUAGAAAAUUAUUUAACUAAAGUACUUAUUUGUUUCUCUGCUGAUUAAAAAACAUUGAUAUAUAUAUGCAAAUGCAGAGUGAGAGAGAGAGAGAGAGAGAGAGAGGAUUAAGGAGUUUAUCAUAAAAUCACGAUUCGAUAAAAAUGAGAAAAUAUUACGAGAUUGAAAAAAUCUUUAAUAUUCUUCGUUAUUAAUUAUUGAGAAAUGAAUUAAUUAUACGAUAACAAUUUCAAUAUUAAAAUUCAGAAAUAUAAUCGAUUCGUUCAAAAACCGAUUCUUCGUUCGAUCGAUUCUUAUUUUUAUCGAAGAAAAAAAGGAACUCUUCGAGAAAACUGCUACGAUCAGAGAUUUCCUUCCUCGAAAAUAUAAUAUUCCACGGAUAGAGGAGGCCGUGUCGAAACUCAAUUUAUCGACGAUGACGCGGCUCGAUCGGUUCGUUUCGAUGCAAAGUCUCCGCGAUCGCGUCCAAAAUAGCUGUCCCCUCGCGGCUGUCAAAAAAUCAAUUUGAGGGACCAGAUAUUUCCUCUCCUCCCCUCUCCCCUCUCCUUCCUCGUGAAAAAUUGCGAUCCGUGGAUGAUGCGCGUGUACGACAAUGCCUGUGACACGAUUUUCUUUUUUUCCUUUUUUUUUUUUCGCCGCAGAGCGAAGGAACGAGCGAGAAGAGCGUGGAAACGAGAAUUCGCGUUUAACUUGAGUUGCGUCGGGUAAACGAAAAAAUUCGCCUCGAAAUGCUUCAUCACGAUCCUGGAAACACGUUUUUUGACUUCGACACGCUUCGACGAUCCCUCAUCAAUCUCUUUCUAUAUACCUUUUCUUUUUUUUUUCUCUCUCUUGAUAUUUUUGAUAAAUGUAACAAUUCGAUGAAUUUUCCAAAUUUUAAAAAUAUCGAUCCAAAUUCUUUUUCAAAAAGGUUUAUUUAAUAGACGAAAUAUCGAAUAUCAUUUUUUUUUUUUAAUUAUUUUCUCCGAAUCAUACAAAAUUUUUCCGACGUAUUUCAUCAAAAAAAAAAAUAUAAAAUAAUAUUGCAACAUGGUAGAUUCAUCUUCGUUUUUGAACCAUGGAAGAUGAAAUGAUAUAAAUCACAUUUUUGUUAUAUUUAUGUUUUAUUUCAAUACUAUAUUUUAUACCAAUUUAUACGGAUAUCCUUUCAUUUCAAAUUCAAUUUGACUGGAUUCUCAAAUUCAACUGGAUUAUCCAGUUUAUUCGAUACACCUACUACUGGUUCCAAAUUCCAAAUUUAUAACUUUAUCAUCGAAGAAUUAAAAUUUAUUAUUACCGAAAUCAAAAAUUGAAUAAAAAAUAUAUAUAUAUACAAAAAUAUUUCGCAUAAAGUUUAUAAAAGAAUUUACCAAAUUCAUCAUUUUAUAACUUUUCAUCCAUUGGCCCAUUGGCACGACGACAUCCGCACUAUAAUCGAUCGAUAUUUGCUGUGAUCUUGUUAGAAAGAAACAGGAUAUAUAUGGUGCAAGAUUGAAUCCGUAUAUCGAUGAAAUGGAACGAUCUGGUACGAGGAAUUAUUAGAUGAACCAGGAUCAGAAAGCUGAGCUGUAUAUGGUUAUCAAUGCGAGCGAUUCGUCUAAAUGGGAGAGGGUUGUUCCGUUUGGUGGGGUUUCGAGCAUAGUUUCAAGGUGGUAUUUCGCGAGAAAUUUGUAUCGGUUUCGCGAAAUUCCACACACCUCUCUCUCUCUCUCUCUCUUCUAUUUACAGCUGUAACGAAUUUCCUUCGACGGUGGCAUGGAAUCAAGGAAAUUUCACCUCCUUCCUCGAUAUGCGUCUAAUUCUGUGAUUAUGCGGUAUGCGAGCAAUGUUGGAUUUCGGGGAUGGAAAAAGUCACGAUUGGAGAGGAACGAGAAGUUUUAUUAAUUGAUAUUGCGAUAAUAAUAAUAAAGGUAUGUUAUUGAAGUUAUAAGACGUCGAAUUUAUAAUGUUGGCGGAUCGAAAGAAGAAUUUGCGAAGAAUGGAAAAUGAAUUAUAUUUAAAUAUUUGUCCAGUUUAAGUGUUGUAAAUCUGAUUAUAUAUAGAAUAAUUUUUGAUCGAUGUAUGCAUAAUUCGGACAUUUCUACUAUAUUUGAUUAUUUUUAUUGCCAAAUAUUACUUUACCAAUAAUGACAAGUGAUUCGAAAAUAAUUAGAAAUUCCUCUUACUAUUUCAGAGAAUAAUCAAUUAAUUUCACCAAGUCCGAAUUAAUUAACAUACCCUAAAUUUUCAUUAGAACGAAUCGAACAAUACCGCUAAAUUAAAAGCUACGAUUUAAGAUUUCCAUCAUCCACCACGAUCAUUAAAAUAAAUUCAGAAUAAAAACCAGGUAAAACCGUUAUCGUGGCCAUCUCGAAGCACUUUUCAAACUCUCCUCUAUCGAUUAGCGACACUCACAACUUGUUAUCGUGCCGCGAAUCGGCGCGAUUCACACGGAAAACACCAACGCGAAGAGACACGACAAAGGGGCAUCCACAGAUUUUUUCAACCCAUGUUCCUUCCUCCCGCCCCACCCACGGCUUCAAUGGGGCGGCGUUAAUGGUGCUCGAGGCUAUCUAUCACCCGUGCACAGCCACUACGUAUUUCACGCUGUCUGCGACGUCUCUAGCCUCUGUCUCGAAAUAAUGCUCCUUUUGUUUCUCCCGAUGCGCCUACUUUCCCGUCCCGCUCCAGGAAUCCCGGAUACCCACAAACGCGCGUGCCCUCCACGUUACCAGCCGUGAAACAGCCAUCCGGGUUAAGGAUCCUCGACAUGAUCCUAGCGACGGAUCUGCAAAGUCAUGAAUGCUCGCUGCCACGUUGGAAAGUUCGAGGUGCUCGAGACCUUUUUCGGUUGACCCCCCUCAGCUUGAAUUUUAAGUGGUCGGGGAGUCAUUUUAAUUUUACUCGCGCUUGCGUUCCGUUUCCUGGAAUUUACAUUGCGGUGAUCAGUGCGUUGGGCGGGGUUCGAGAUGAUAUCUCGACGUGUCUUUCACUCGUUAAACGCUUCCCCCUUUAAUUUUUUUAUAUAAAUUUAAUUGGUACGAGUUUGAGAAAGAUUCUUCGAUGCGGUUGAAUCAACGAGGAAUUUCGGUAUUCUUGGGAACGUGAGAAUUCAGAAAUUUCGAGGAACGUUCUCUAGGAACUUGUUAAUUAACAAAUGAAAUUUCUCCUCCAUGUUGUGAUGAUAAAUCUUGCUCAAACUAUCUUUUGAACGAAGCUACGGAAGAAAGAAGGAAACGAGUUACAGAGAUGAGAUCCAUUCUCACUUUGAUAAAUAAAAAUUAUUUAUUUGUCUGUGGUGUGAAUUCUAUCAUCAUUAACUAUCUUCUCUUGUAGAUUCCUCCUCCGGCAAAAUCGUCAUGGUUUUGAGACAUCGUGGCUCGAAGCGAUAUCAUAUUCAAGGAAACGAAAUUGGAAGAAGAGGAAGAAGAAGCUGUAAUUCGCGAAACGAGUUUACAAUCUACAGAGAGAUAACAGUUUUUACAGGCGAGAAAACAACGAGGCGAUCUCUCUAUCGACCGUCCAUUUUUACACCAAUUUUAGUUGUUUGCCAGCGCAGAGAUUACACGCAGAGGAUGUUGAUCGAGCAUUAAGGAUGGAGGAUUUAUAAGGGGACGUGUUCCGCCAUGCGACGAGGUUCGCAUGAAUUUAAUCGAUCGUUAAUCGAGGAUUAUUUUCUGAGAUUCGUUUAAAGGCCCGAAUUCCCGAUUCCGGAGAGUUUCAAUUGCUUGUUGAUUCAAUUGAAAUCUCUUGUAAUGCGAGCGAUGGUUCUCGAGUUGCCGGUUGAAUUAAUUAGCGAAGUUUAGCUAGGGUAAAGAGUUUUAUAUUGCUCAACAAUUUUGAAAUGAAUCCGUUUAUUCGUAUUAAUUCUGGAUUGAAUCUUGUGUUGUUUCUUUCCUUUUUUUUUUUAAUUUUCUUUUUUUUUUUUUUUAAUUCGUUGCACGUUGUUGUUGUCCGUGUACAGCGUUUUUAUUUGAUUAAAUUUCACGUGUACGGAAUAAUUGAAAAAUUUUUGAAUUUUUAAAUUCUAUCGUAAAAAAGGAAAUUAAUCCUUCGGGUUUCAAUUUAUUUUUUUCACUUUUAUUUCAAUCUAUUUGUUAUAGUGUAGGAGAGAGAAAAAUGUGGAUGAAUAGUACGCAGUUAGCAGUCGUUAAAAAGGCUGUUGAAUAUCUGUAUGAAUUGUAAAAAAAAAUUCAUUCGUCGCAUUAAAUGAGCAAGAGAAUAUAGAUAAAGCACGAUAUAGAAGAAGAGAUGAUUCAUCAAAUAUGUAUUUACCGAUGGCCUUAAUGCGGCAAGAAAAAGAGAAAAUCCGUUGUCACGAUCGAGGGCAAGAUAUUCUCAAGGAAAUUUAGCCGGAAAUGAUGAAAUAUUCAAAACAGGAAGAGGAUAUUUCUCGUAUUCGGGGAACGGGAAAAAAGAUUUUUAUUACGUUUCUCAUCGAUGUAUUAUUCGAUUAUUUUCAACGAAAGAGAAACUACUUCUCUUAACCACUUCCAUAAAUAAUCCAAAUAAAACCCGUAUAAAAUUCCACGCAUUCAUCUUCGAAUCAAUGAUAUAUAAAAUCCAAACCAACUGUGAAAAACCGUGUAUUCAACUGCGCAGUCAAAUAAUCUUCUUCAUCUUCUUCGCGCAUCUCUUUCUCUCUCUUUCUCCACAAUAACACUGCACGCACGAAGGCACAAUCUCGAGAGAAAAGUUUCAAAUUCUCAUCUCUCGGAUCCAUUACGCUCAUAAACAUUCUCCGUGGAUCGCGAGGCUCGGAGGGAAAAAUCCAGAGGGAUGAAGAGGGACAGAGAUAGAUAUAUACCGGAAGACGCAAGGUGGCCAGUUCUCGAUACUCGGCGGGGACUUAAUACACGCCGAAAUAAUUCAAGGAUCCUGCGGUAUUGAACGUGAAAAAAGAAAGAAAGAAAGUACAGAGACAGGCAGGCACGGCUAUAAAACGCAGCACGCGUCCUGCUCGCCUCCCGUGUCCACCACGGUUUCCACCCCCACGAUCGAAAAGUAAAGGUUUAAGUAUUAUACCGUGGCGCAUAGGCAGGGCCGGGCAUAUAAGCCAUCGGUUACACGCACGAGUACUCGGGACUCGGUCGAUGUACCACUGGAUUUAAAUGGUCUGCCCGCAGUAUCCUGUAUUCACGACGGAUUUAUUAUUGAGAAGCACGGAUUACUUUCAAGAGAUAGCGGAGGCAAAGAGGAAGGGUGGGGUGGUCCCGCGUGGGUAUACAGUACACUCCCGUCCAUAAGUCACCGGACACUUUUUUAAACAUUGCCCCGUUUCGACAUAUUAAUUUAUGCCCGUUUAUAAAUCUCCCCUUACGACUUUUUAACCAUUCGUAUCUUUAUUAUUGGCAACCGUAAAUUGUUUCUCUUCUUAUAACUUUUUCUUUAAAGUCUAUCAUUCCCGACUCUCGAGAGGAUAAAGGUACUCGUUUAUUUACUUCUUCUUCUCGUUAUUAUACGUUAUCGAAGCAGAUUACGAUAAAAUACACGAUCGAUCGAUAACGCGAUUAUAUUCAGAGAAACGUGAAAUCGUUAAAUGAUGCACAAACUUAUGAACGGGAGUGUAUAUAUAUCGCGGCACGUUUUAUUUACGAGCAGAAAAAUGUAGACACGAGGUAUAUGGGCAUCGAAAAGAGAGAGAAAGAGAGAGAGAUCGCAGCCCUAUAAUCGCCUCUCUAUCCCAUUUCUCUUUGGCCGGCGGGCCUCCCUUUUUCGCAUCGUUCCCUCGUUCUUCAUUUGCCUAAAAGACCCCUUUGUCCACUCGUCUUCGUUCACCUUGCUAACUCCUCUCUCUCUCUCUCUCUCUCUCUCCAUCUGGUUGUUCUCCAAGGAUGCGUGUAUGUGUGCGCGCGCGUGUCUCUCGUUUCUCGUCGAUCUGGAGGAGAUCUAUAGAGGCGCUCGGACAUGGGCGUGAUUACCGAGUCUAGGAAUUUCUUUGAGGGAUCGAGACCGAUGGAGUCUUGAACGAUUUAGGUUGAUGGCGAGUCGAAUCUCCCGGGGAAUCCGUUUAAGGAGGAAGUAGGGAGAAUUUGUGGUGCGCGGAAAGGAGGAAACUUUCGUUCGAGUCUCUAUAAUUUCCAAUAGUCCAAUUCUCUUAAGAAUCUCUUAUUCCAUCCCUUAUUUAGGAUCCCUUGGAACGUUGCUCCCAAUCUUCGCAAUGAAAACUCGUACUUUCACACUUUUGAUAUCAUCGCACAGAUAUCCAGAAAUAAUCGUUAUCUAGAAUAUUAUACACAAA